GGGUUGUGAGGUUAAGCGACCAAGCGUACACGGUGGAUGCCCUGGCAGUCAGAGGCGAUGAAGGACGUGCUAAUCUGCGAUAAGCGCCGGUAAGGUGAUAUGAACCGUUAUAACCGGCGAUUUCCGAAUGGGGAAACC
rnacentral:rRNA from 1 species